CAGUAGCCACGGGAAAACGAAGGGGGCUAGCGUUGCUCGGAAUGACUGGGCGUAAAGGGCGCGUAGGCGGAUUGUUUAGUUAGGCGUGAAAUUCCUGGGCUUAACCUGGGGACUGCGCUUAAUACAGGCAGUCUAGAGUGAGGAAGAGGGUUGUGGAAUUCCCAGUGUAGAGGUGAAAUUCGUAGAUAUUCGGAAGAACACCAGUGGCGAAGGCGGCUCACUGGCUCAUACUGGACGCUGAGGUGCGAAAGCGUGGGGAGCAAACAGGAUUAGAGACCCCAGUAGUCCCUGUCUCUUAUAC
rnacentral:rRNA from 1 species